rnacentral:rRNA from 1 species
AGAUGCAGCAACAUAAGCAUACCUUACCCAUUUGGUAUCAGUGCCGGGUGCCACCGUGAGGGCUUCAAGCUUGCCUGCAACGAGACAUAUCAUCCCCCAAAGCUCUUCAUGAACAGUUCUGGCGUCGAAGUGCUUGAAAUAUCAGUGCAAGACAGCACCCUGUACAUUGACAGUGGGAUCCUCACCUUGGCGGGGGAUGAGUGGCCCGACGGUUACAUCCAUAUGAAUUGGUCAGUCCCCCUCGAUGAAAGCCUAUAUAGGGUGUUAGCAGACAGGAAUAAAAUCGUUGUUAUGGGGUGUGGAAUCAUUGUGUUUCUUCAAUGGCAUUCUCCCGGCACAGAACCUGCAGGUACCACUUGUCGCCCAGGAUGCAUGCCGGGUCAUCCUGUGAUAGCAACUGAUGGCACAUGUGCUGGUGUUGGUUGUUGCAGUGCAAUGAACGUGCAACCUGACUCAAAUAUGUUUUCCAUCAAGUACAGCGUGGAGAAAGAGAACUUGCAGGUCAACUCAAGUCUUGCUUUGGUGGAGAGCAAAUGGUGGAGCAAGAAGAAGAAUGCCAUGGUGCUGCAGAAGGCGGUGUCAUCUGACACCAGCCUUGGUGCCUCCAAAGGCGUACUACACUCCAUACCAGGAGUACCAGUUAGAACGGCUGUCAGUUGGGUGUUCAGUAACUUGUCAUGUGCUGAGGCUAGCAGCAAUUCAAGUGACUUUGGAUGCCUCAGUGAAAACAGUGAGUGCCUUGUGUACCAUAAACCUGACGACUCAAGAGGAGGUUACACAUGCCAGUGUUGGCAUGGCUACGAAGGUAACCCUUACGUGCAACACGGAUGCCAAGAUAUCGACGAGUGUACAAGUCAAGGCGAGUACUCCUGCUUUGGCCAGUGCAUCAAUCUGAUAGGGUCAUAUACCUGUACCUGUCCGCAUGGCACCACUGGUAACCCCCGAAAACAAAAUGGAUGUUCUUCAACCAAAUCAGCCAAAUCAAGAUUUGUCACUGCGGUAGGAAUAGGCAGUGGUGUGGGCACUCUUCUAAUUAUCCUCAGCGUUCUGAUUGUAAGACAAAAGCUCAUGGUUUGGAAAGCAAGGAAGUCAAGAGAUUUUUUCUUCAAAAAGAACAGAGGGUUGUUGCUACAGCAGCUUGUAGACAAGCAUAUCGCUGAAAGGAUGAUGUUCAAAUUAGAAGAGCUUGAGAAGGCAACAAAUAAGUUUGACGAGGCUCGGAAACUUGGAGGUGGAGGCCACGGCACUGUCUACAAAGGGAUUUUAUCUGACAAACGUGUUGUUGCCAUCAAGAAGUCAAAAGUUGUAAUUCUGAGAGAAACAGAUGAUUUCAUCAAUGAGGUUGCCAUCCUUUCUCAAGUGAACCACAGGAAUGUAGUGAAGCUUUUUGGAUGUUGUCUUGAGACAUAAGUUCCAUUGUUGGUCUACGAAUUCAUUUCAAAUGGAACUCUUUCUGAUCAUCUUCAUGUCAGCACUCCACUAUCAGUGCCCUCGAAAGAUCGGCUAAGAAUAGCCCUUGAAACCUCAAGAUGCCUUGCUUAUCUGCACUCAGCUGCUUCAGUAUCAAUAGUCCAUAGAGAUAUCAAGUCUGCCAAUGUACUACUUGACGAUCACCUCAGAGCAAAAGUAUCAGAUUUUGGAGCUUCUCGAGGCAUCCCCAUCGACCAAACUGGAGUUACAACUGCCGUUCAAGGAACUUUUGGAUAUUUGGAUCCUGAGUAUUACCACACACGGCGACUCACCGAGAAAAGUGAUGUGUAUAGCUUUGGUGUCAUGCUUGUGGAGAUAUUAACAAGGAAGAAGCCAUGUGUCCACCUGUCAACACCAGGAGCCAGUCUAACUGCUGAAUUCAUCUUGAGAGUAAACCAAGACAAACUCUUCGAGAUGCUAGACCAGCAAGUCAUCGAGGAAGGGUCUGAAGAAGCCAAAGAAGUUGCAGCAGUAGCACUGAUGUGCUUAAGCUUAAAGGGUGAAGAUAGGCCUACAAUGAGGCAAGUUGAGACAAAACUUGAAGUGAUGCAAACUGUGGAAAACAAUACACCAAUGGAACAGAACAAUGCCAAUGCUGAUGAUGACAACUUCAGUAGGCGAUAUAGUAUGGAGGAAGAAUGCAUGUCAUCUAUGAGUUUGCCUCGGUAA